GUGUCCAUUUCCAGUGUUUUCAUGAUUCUCCCAGUGGUUCUCCCAGUUCAAACGUUCACCAAAGUCAUGAUAACACUGAGGCAGCAACUAUUGCUGCAAUUGACCAAAUAC